GUUGAAAUACCAGUUCACGUACGAUUACCGAAGUUAAGCAACAUAGAUCCUGGUCAGUAACUAAAUGUGUGACCGCUUGGGAAUACCAGGUGCUGUAUU